ensembl:lncRNA
UUUUCCUCUGUAGUGAGCGGCGGUGAUUUAUGCCCCAAGUGUAUUGUGGGAUAUCAGAGUCUCUGAACACAGGAUGUGCCUGUUGAACCCGCUGCAGCGCUGGCUCUGUUUUCGGAGUGUGAAAUGUUUUCCUCACAAAUCAAGAAAAGCUGGUGGAUGCGUCCCGCCGAGCGCAGCUGCACGGCCCGCAGUGCAGGGUCUCGGCUCGAGCUGGUCCCCUGUACCACUUCGCUGGGAACGGAUGGGAGUUUUAUAGCAAAACAUCUUGAAACAAAGCGUGGCCUUCGCCGCAUGAUGUCUUUUUACCAGGUCACAGAUUCAGCAAAGUCUCAUGGGAACGACACCUGUUGUGAAACAGACAGCAAACUCAUGGCCAAGAGAGAUGGCUGUUGUUAUCCGCCAAAUGAACACGAUUCAGAUAAAAGAACUAAAAUGUUUCAACAUUUUUAGUCUUUUGAUUUUCAAUAUUUAUAUGAAUAUGAGAUUAGGAAUUAGAUCAAAUGAGAUUUAACUCUAAAUAAUUAAAACAUCCCCCCAAUGUUUCUCACUAAAUGAACACAGGAAGAAUGAGAUUGUAAGUGAUGAGAUUGUAAGGAAGAAUGUAAGUGAAAAUUAAAUCUUGCCUUAUAGUUAACAUAUAUGAUAAUAUCACUCUUGAUCUGAAUAUUUUGUACUAUAUUUAUAUAUACGUACACUACAAAAUACUAUAAUAAAAUAUAUUCUUUACUGACA